rnacentral:ncRNA from 1 species
GGGCACCUUAGUAGCCGGUUUUGCACGAAAUCUGCGGACGGGGGCCUUAAACAUAGCGCAGGAAAACCUGCGCGCGGCGGGGAGACCCGCCGGAGCUAAACGGAAGACAGAAA